AGCCUAGUUCCUAUAUUCAUCCUACUCGUUUGAAUAUAUUAGUUAGAGCAAUGCGCAUCUGCUAUCUCUUGAAUUUUUGCUUCGAGUAUUUUACAUUUUUCACUCCCGUUUGGUUAUUUACAAAGCAACGAUAUUGAUACCGAUUUGUGCACAAUCUAACAUCGAGUAAUCGAUGAAAGAGUGUGAUGCCUUAACUAAUGAGAUGGAUAAGGAAUCAUUUACCCUAUCUUAAAUGGUAUUCGACUUUUCUUCCUGACUCAGUCAGUGAUUAUAUUAAUACAAACAAUGAUUACCAGUCAUAUCUAAACCAAACAACACACGCAUUUAGAAGUCAUAAAAUGUUAAUAAAAAAGCAAUUCUUGAAAGCCCUUUUGUUUCAUUAUAAAGAAAAUCUCAUUGUCAUUCUGGCCAUUCAUCGAGUCCGCCAAAGAAACUCUCGUAACCCGGAACUCUGCACCUGUUUAAUUCUAAACCUAUAGUAACAUUUGGAACACAAUACCACGCGAACGACGACAUGCAAGACCACUCUAGUAGACGCCGCCUUAAAUAGAGUAUUUACUUACAUGUUACUCCCGACACCCGGAAGCCCUCUGAUUCCAUACCAAUAAAUGUAUAGGAAGCUGUCUCGUGCUAAUCUCACACCCGAGACACACAUCUCGCUUUUGCAAGCAACGGUAUAUACGCUCCCUUUUGUAGCAGUUCUGUUCUAGGAAACAGUCGCGCACCAGCCAUUUGUAUAGUGUAGCGCACUGCUUUACUAUUUGAUAUUCCAUUACCUUGAAAUUGAUUUUCAAUGCCAUCCGGUCGUGCGGAGCGGCCUUUUUAUAUUCGUACUUAUAGUACCUUUCUGAUCGGGACGUGUGAUUCUAGUUCCUCAAACAACGAAACUUCGUUCUAUCCAUUCCCUCGCAAUGAUUAUGUGUGUACCGUCGAAAUGGGUAUAUAUGAACACAGUUAAGAUAAGUUUGUCUUUGUUUUCGUUUUUUUACUUGACCUUCCGGAAGUCGCGUGAUGUAUUGAGUGAAAUUCUAGCAAAAUUUCCUUUUACAGCGCCAGACGGUUGCAAAAAUAUACUUAUGACGAGAAUUCCAGAAGGUUAAUCAUUUUUCUAGAUUAUAGAAUCAUCGCUCGAAACGCAUAUUUUAACUAUUAAGAUUAUCUUGUUCUAUUCAAUUUUUAGCAUUCGUCGAAUAUUAUAUCAUAGUACAUGCUUUAGUGUAGUGUAUUAAUUUACUUGUUGCAUAUAUACUAACUAGGGUAGGAAACAUGGUCAUUUUUAAAACGUGUUUACCCGAAAACGACUAUGCAUAAUUUGGGGUCGGUCUGGUAUUUGAAAUUUGGAAAUAGAAAUUAGUAUCAGAAAACCAUUAUUUAACAUUUUCAUUUAAAGAGAUCACUCGAGCCUACCAAACCUAAAAAGAAUCCUAUGUUAUUUGUAGACCGACAGUGUUGACGAAUAGAAUAAUAUCUGGUUUUCAAUAUGACACAUUUACGAAUUUUUAAACGCUCUACCUUAAUAUCUUGUAUUUAAUUUGAAACAUCAAAUUUUUAACAACUACAACAUUCUAUCGCAGAAAACAGCCGUAUAAGUUGUUUAUCAUAUAGGAUUGGUGCGACGCUUGACCCUUAAGGGACAACUUUUUCAACGGGUAGCUAAUUAGAUUUACAGUUCUGGUUGGAUAAUUGAAAUCCCACAUUUUGGCAAUUAAUCCUUUGUGCCAAACACUUUCCAAAGUUUUUUCGAUGUCUACAAGAGCAACUCCAGUGUAAUAACCCUCUGAGAUAGGAAGAUUUUUAAGAAGAAUGUUAAAAAUUCCAUCAUAACCUGGUGCUUUCAUAUUUUUUUAACUUUUUCAUGAUGGAUUUGAUCUCAUCCUAGUUUGUUUCAACAAUUUCGUCUAGAGACAAUACUUGAUUUAAAACAUAUUCAUAUUUUUGUAAAACUUCGGAUUUUCUUGAACUGCUGAGCUUUUCGAGCUUUUGCUUCGUUUGUAAGAAGUAUGUGAGGUUUCUUAAGAACCUUAGAAAGUUUCCAGAAAGGGGGCUUGAAUUGUUGAACCUCUGCUAUGAAUCUAUGUUUAAUUUCUUUUUCUAGAUCCUGAUAGGUCAAUUUCAUAACAGAAUCGCGAGAACGAUGAUAUAGACCAAGGAGCUUUUAUUCUCAGGUGAUACGAUCCUUGAAAUCGCCGAUCAGCAAUAUUGGUGCUGGAAACGAUAGCUAACAACAUUGUUUACUACAUCUCCAUGCAUGUUUGCUUGGAUUUCAGUAUGCAAACAAAGUUGUUCGCUGUUAUAUUUCUUCCGCGCAGCUUGCUGCACGCUUACCUCACUCCUCACCUAGUUACUGCCAAAGACGAAUCACCUUAGAACUCUAAGCACCUUGAUAUAGACGUCUUAAAACAUUCUUCAAGGAAAUCAGAGAUUGAAGAUUGUCGUCGAUAAUACUGCCAGUACCCGCAUAGCAGUGUUCCCGAGCAAAGUCGAACAUCAAAAUUACAACAAGUAGAAAUCAUAUUUUGAUAAUAGCAUCAAACUGAAAUCUUAUUUUGCUAUCAGUUUUAGAUUUUUUAAAUAUGACAUCAAAUUUUGAUCUUAUUUUGCUAUCCUUGUUUCUUAGAAGAAUUUUCUAUGUUUAUAUUUCUUUGGUGAAACAUCACAGUGAAUACAUAUUUUGUUAUCAAAAAAAAUUUCAACAUCUCAAUGAGCUUUCAAUUUAUUCUCACUGAUAGCAGUAUUAGUUUUCUGCUUGAUGUCAUAGGACAAAUUUGCUGCUCUCCAUUUUGAUCUUUUAACCGUUAAAACGACCAAAACGACAACAACCUGAGUAAUUAUUUGCCGAACAUCACAACAUCAAGUUAAGUUUUCAAUUUGAGGUCCGACUCCGCUCGGGUUAGAUCUCACUUUUAUUGUACUAGCAAAUAACGCACUGAAAAUUAUUGAUUUAUUCAAAAAAUGUACAAAAAACACCAACUAAUGCCAGUCCCAUAUGAAAAGUACCUACAUAGCUCCCUUAUGCAUUUUGGAUAAAAGCUACAGACAAUAUUUAUCUGUUAUACAGUAUUGUGACAUUUUUUCGACUUUCCUGAUCAAAUGCACCUCAAUGAAACCGAUUGGGAGGUGGUAGGGCAUAGUAUAGUUGUAAAUCGUACGCAGCUUACCUGGAUACUAAAAAAACAAAAGUUAUGGUCACAUUUUCUCGACAUGAUGGUUUUGUAUAUGGGACUGUUAUGCGAGUACUGGCAGAAUAGGAGUGUUAAAUUUUUAUUGAUAAAUUUCUAGCAUCAACUAUAGAAUCAUUCAAAUUUUGUAACGCCGUAGCAAUGUCAGCUUUAUUUUGUGAAUCAUGAUCAUGAUUAAAAUUAUGACGUAGUUUUCUUCGGCGAAUUUCGAUCACUCCCUCCCCCCUUGUAGCAUUUUGUCACAAUAUUCUAACCUCCGUCUUGAAAAUAACGUAGCACUUACCACCCCACCCCACGCGCCCGAUGGGUAAAAAGAAAUUGAACAUGUUUCAAUUAUUUUAAAUACAUGUCCUUACAAAAUGUUUCACGACUUUCAUCGGCAUUUUCAUUAAAACAGCAAAUUGCGUACAAAAUACAAGCCCAUUUCAUGAGAGUUUCGUUUUGAGUUUUAUGUUUCAGAGAUGAUCUCUCAGUUCACAAUCCUGCAGCUUCCAAUAAUUCUAAAAUGCUUACGUUCAACUAAAAUUCUAAAUUUUGGUUGGUUGAAUCAAAAGAAAAAAAAAUGAUUGAGCUAUCAAACUUACUCUACUAGUUAGCAAAAUUAACUAACUAAUGUAGCACAAUCUUUUCGUUUUUUUGCCGUGGGCUUGGCGGUAGACUUAAGACUACAAUUUUUUAUGUUUAGAGAUUUGAGAAUUGGAGACCUUGGAUUCUGUUGGUCCCUAGAAUCUAAUAGCAACACGGCGCGUGCUUCAGAUGGUGGAUAGAAGCGAAGGGAUACCCUGACGACUGGCACAUUGGCUUAUUUUUGCUGUCAAUUCAACUAGAUCCAGACCGAUGCAGUGUCCUAUGAUUGGUGGUUCAUUACAUAUAAUUAAAUAUCAUUCUAUUUGCACAACGCAUUAAAACUUAAGUGAAUUAGCCAAAGUAUUGGGAUCAUACCAAUUCAAACCCAAAUCUAAAGUAAACAUCAUUCAAUUGCACAAUGUAUUAAAUUUACAAUUUAAGUGAACUAUCCAAAUUAUUGGGACCAUAUCAAUUCAAAUAUGUAUUAAAAAUCUGCCUAGUAAUCUUGAUGAACCGUCAUCCACGCAAACCAAACCGUCAAAUAAAGUGGCUAUGUUCCCAACUAUAA